ensembl:lncRNA
AAAGGGUAUUUAAGACAUCACAGUGUUAAACGCGGGUAGCCCAAUUUACACAGAUAUCGUGUCAGAUUCAGGGGAGGAGUUUUCAACUGGUUGAGUUGUGAUUGGUACUCUGAAAGUUGGUAAUUGUAACUCGGCUUACCCCUGCCAAGAUCUAGGUAGAAUUAUUCUAAAGAAAGGAAUGUGUGGAGUGGUUAGCAGCAUGGUGCUGGAAUAAUAUGUUGAGACUUGUUUAAUUUUUAAACAGAAAGAGCAAUAUCAGACACUUCUUCCUUGUUACUGCACAAGCUGACGCCUGUUUCUGUUAGCAAACAGGAAAACCAAAAAACCCAGCCCAAACAAAGCAGCUCUUCCCAGUGCGGUACAGAAAUUCUGUUUCAUCUUCUUGCACUUCAUUACAACAGAAUACAUUUCCGGACAGUUCUGUAGUAAUGAGCGUAAUACGCAGACAGUUCAUCAGUGUGUGCUUGCUGGGUGGGCUUCACAUUACUGAGAGUGAUGGUACUGUGCCACUCUAACAUGAGUUUUGCCAUUGAAAAAGUAACAAGAGAGGUUUUUUUGUACAAAGUUAAAUGAAACCUUAAUAGGUAAUCCUAAAAUUAGUAAUUAAAGACCUCAGAUCAAAUAAAAAGGCUUAACUUGUUCUCAGGGCUCUGCUAAUAUUCAUAACCUCCUUAAAUCCUAUGCAUGAAAUGUGUAUCAUCAGUAGUCUCUUGAAUGAAUCACGGCCUUUUAUUCUGCAAAGAGCUAAACGGAACAGUUAGGAGAACUUCAAUGUAUGCAGAAGACUGACUCCAGAAGGCUUGCAAGCAAGCUGAUACCAAGUUUUAUUUUACAUUUUCUCUGGAAAUUUAGACUGGUCUACUCAUUAGCUUAACACUCUUCUGGCUUGUUUAGAAAUACUGUUCCAGUGUCUAGUACAGUGUCAGAUUGGCUGGCAUUGAGGAGCCUAUGCCCUUUCUUGAGCAAUGUCAUUGAAACAUUUGGCAUGCAUUGUUCCACUUCUCACAGUAACUCUUAACAUAAUGACAAGCACCAAUUUUAAAUCAAAGUUAUGUAGCCUUACAGAAUGACUUCUUAAAGGUCUGCUGAAGAGGUAGAUUUGUGUAGAUCCUGGCUGCUCUCUAAUGUGUCCAUGUCCCCAUCCCUGCUUAAUGACAGAGACUAUUCCAGUCCUUGCAUUAAAUAUACCACGACCUUUGGCAGAGGGAAGGAUGGUGCUGGCUGGGAGAGAACUGCCUUCUUGGCCUGCCUGCAUCUAUUUUACCCGGUCCUGUUUUCCCUGUCUGUUCAGUCGUAAGCUGGCUCCUCUAGGAAUGGACUUCGAGUCUUAAGCUGUAAUCAUAUUUGAUCUCUAAAGGAUAAGUGCUAGCUACAGAACACUUCCUAAGACUGACACGGUGAUGAUUGCCUUUUUUCAUAUGAAACAUGAUAAUAAAAACUUCUAUCAAGAAUCUACGCUUCCAGAAGUACAAAAUGUAAUGAUAUAUUGCAGAAGUGAGCGGCUCAAAGUGAAUGGGUUUGGGGUGACUAAAAAGAAUGCAUUUUCAAUACAAAAAAUGUGCUUGUAUUGGUCUAGUUCUGAAAGCAUUUGUACAAAGAUCAGGUUAAUCACUAGAAGGUGGUGUCAGGAAAGCAUAGGGAAAGGUUACCAGCAGCAAACAUUUGCUGGAAGAACAAAGCUCUUUUUCUCAAUCAACUUAAGAAAAAGCUUCAAUCUUAAGGUUAAUGGAAAAUAGGAGUUGUGUAGUUACAGUUCAUACGGUGUACUUCAGCAUUCUUAUGGGGAAAAAAAAUCUUACAAUUCUAUCACAACUUUCUAUUUGAAAUUUAAAUGAGUUAAAUGUGAUGGUCUCCUCUCACCUAUUGCCACUUCAGUUAGAUAAUGAUGGUUUUUUUUACAAGCUUCAAGCAGUUUAAACUUAUCUUAAUGAGUGUAAGUGAGGAUUAGGCAUUUUAGCUUUAAAUUGUCUAGGUACUAAUUAAAAUAUUUGCUUAUUGGCUAAUGUGGACCUUGGAUAUGAAAAACCAGACCAAUUUUACAAAAGAGCUAUUUUUGGAAUGCCAACAUGAGAAUUGAAAAAGACUUUUUGCAACUUGCAGCUUCUCACGUAAUGUAAAGCAACUUUCAAGUAUGUCGCAUGGCUUUGCUGGCUGAAGCAGACUGCAGGAGCCAGUCUUCAAAACAACAGAAUGCCUUUCAUAGCCUCUGCUCUUACCCAAAAUAAGGGAAACAUUCUGCACUUCAAGGAGAAAACUCACACGUUAUCAGCUACUUCAAUGGGUAAACAUUAACUCUGACAGAAGGUCAUUUUGGUUUUAUCUGUCACUGCCCAAGCCAAACCUAACCGGUUACAUGAAAGUAUCUCCAUUUUGUUAUUUCUUCAUUAUCCACUGCCUUUCUGUUGCCAUUAUUCAAUUUAACAUGAUGAGAAGUGGACUACAUGCAUUUCCUAAAGCUUUUUCAAUGUAAUUUCAGUGUUGACUGUUAGACUAUCUAAGAUUUUCUGAGGGCGUAAUUUUAGACAUAAAAAUAAGUUGCAUCGCAGCUUGGUAAGAAACUACUGAAAAUGCUGACUGCCUUCUACAGGGUAUGAGUUAAGGACUGCUGCUGUAUAUUCUGUGAGAGUAGGCUGGUGGCGUGGGGAUGCAUGAACUGGUUAAUGCAGUUCGUCUAGGCUAUUGUAUGACUGAAAGCACUGCAAUUUGAUUUGAGUUAGAUGAUGGGUAGUAUCUCAAAUAUUUGACUGACGUGGGCACAGAUGAGUGCUGCAGAAGUGGCAGUGUAAGCCAGCAAGUGCUGAGUAAGGAAUGAGCCUCCAAACAUCUGUAGAACAAAUUUGGAUGACUCCUGACCUCAACAAACCACUACUAUGGAAGGUGCAACUGUCAUAAAUGUCACAGCGUAGUUGCAUUACGUGAGUAACUACUGCAGGUUUUCAGCAGUGGAAAAUACUUCUGCAGUAAGAACUGUCAUAUUGAAUUGUAUGAUGAUUACUGUUUUUUACUAAUAAGAAGAAUGGUGCUGAACAGCUCUCAGAAUUCUGAAUUUUUCAUUCCUUCUUUUAAACACGAACAAAACUCGGUGAGCAGGACUGUCCUCACCUCGCUACCACUAGAUGGCAGUCCAACAAGUCACUUGUAGCUCCGUCUCUUUCCUGACCGCUCUGCUUUGAUUAUCAACUCACAGUCUCAUUAAACGAGAUGUCAGUAUUUGUAGUUGAAGUUCUUAUAAACUUUUGGUUAUUAAUUUCAUAAUGUGAUUUUAAGACGGGCUUUAUUUCACUUCUAAUUCAGAUAGCUUAUCUUUUCUUUCUACUGCCUUCCUUAUGGCAUAUUCUAUUCUCCUCUUUAAAUAAAACUUAUGAACUGCUUGAACAU